rnacentral:tRNA from 2 species
GGCGCAUUCGUCUAAUGGUUAGGACAGCAGGCCUUCAAUCUGUCAAUACGGGUUCGAUUCCCGUAUGCGCCGCAA